rnacentral:rRNA from 1 species
AACGAACGCUGGCGGCAGGCCUAACACAUGCAAGUCGAGCGCCCAGCAAUGGGAGCGGCGGACGGGUGAGUAACACGUGGGAAUAUGCCUUUCGGUUCGGCACAACUCAGGGAAACUUGAGCUAAUUCCGGAUACGCCCUUACGGGGAAAGAUUUAUCGCCGAAAGAUUAGCCCGCGUUGGAUUAGCUAGUUGGUGAGGUAACGGCCCACCAAGGCGACGAUCCAUAGCUGGUUUGAGAGAACGACCAGCCACACUGGGACUGAGACACGGACCAGACUCCUACGGGAGGCAGCAGUAAGGAAUAUUGGCAAUGGGCGGAAGCCUGAACCAGCCAUGCCGCGUGCAGGAAG